rnacentral:rRNA from 1 species
AGUCAUAUGCUUGUCUCAAAGAUUAAGCCAUGCAUGUCUCAGUACAAGCCAAAUUAAGGUGAAACCGCGAAAGGCUCAUUAAAUCAGUUAUGGUUCCUUAGAUUGUACCCACAUUUACUUGGAUAACUGUGGUAAUUCUAGAGCUAAUACAUGCAAACAGAGCUCCAACCAGAGAUGGAAGGAGUGCUUUUAUUAGAUCAAAACCAAUCGGCGACAUAUGGCUUUACGGCUUUAUUGUUCGUCGCAUUAUUUGGUGAUUCUGAAUAACUUUUGGCUGAUCGCACGGUCUUGCACCGGCGACGCAUCUUUCAAAUGUCUGCCUUAUCAACUGUCGAUGGUAGGUUCUGCGCCUACCAUGGUUGUAACGGGUAACGGGGAAUCAGGGUUCGAUUCCGGAGAGGGAGCCUGAGAAACGGCUACCACAUCCAAGGAAGGCAGCAGGCGCGCAAAUUACCCAUUCCCGGCACGGGGAGGUAGUGACGAAAAAUAACGAUACGGGACUCAUCCGAGGCCCCGUAAUCGGAAUGAGUACACUUUAAAUCCUUUAACAAGGACCAAUUGGAGGGCAAGUCUGGUGCCAGCAGCCGCGGUAAUUCCAGCUCCAAUAGCGUAUAUUAAAGUUGUUG